CAGUCGAACGAGCGAGAGAAAGCUUGCUUUCUCGAGCGAGUGGCGAACGGCUGAGUAACGCGUGAGGAACCUGCCUCAAAGAGGGGGACAACAGUUGGAAACGACUGCUAAUACCGCAUAAGCCCACAGGUCGGCAUCGACCAGAGGGAAAAGGAGCAAUCCGCUUUGAGAUGGCCUCGCGUCCGAUUAGCUAGUUGGUGAGGUAAUGGCCCACCAAGGCGACGAUCGGUAGCCGGACUGAGAGGUUGAACGGCCACAUUGGGACUGAGACACGGCCCAGACUCCUACAGGAGGCAGCAGUGGGGAAUAUUGCACAAUGGGGGAAACCCUGAUGCAGCGACGCUGCGUGGAGGAAGAAGGUCUUCGGAUUGUAAACUCCUGUUGUUGGGGAAGAUAAUGACGGUACCCAACAAGGAAGUGACGGCUAACUACGUGCCAGCAGCCGCGGUAAAACGUAGGUCACAAGCGUUGUCCGGAAUUACUGGGUGUAAAGGGAGCGCAGGCGGGAAGACAAGUUGGAAGUGAAAUCUAUGGGCUCAACCCAUAAACUGCUUUCAAAACUGUUUUUCUUGAGUAGUGCAGAGGUAGGCGGAAUUCCCGGUGUAGCGGUGGAAUGCGUAGAUAUCGGGAGGAACACCAGUGGCGAAGGCGGCCUACUGGGCACCAACUGACGCUGAGGCUCGAAGGUGUGGGUAGCAAACAGGAUUAGAUACCCUGGUAGUCCACACCGUAAACG
rnacentral:rRNA from 1 species